rnacentral:misc_RNA from 1 species
CCUAGAGUAUUGUAGGCUUUGUCCUGCUGUCUCUUACCCAUGUUUUUUGAGUACUUACGUUUCCUCGGCGGGUUCGCCCGCCGGCUGGACAAUUUAAACCCAUUGCAGUUGCAAUCAGCGUCUGAAAAACUUUAAUAGUUA